UGCAAGUGUGCUUGUUAUGUAUGCAUGUACGUGUGCGUUGGCUGGGUCAUGGUGCCCGCAUGCCAAGCCACCGCAUGCUUUAGCCACACCGCAUGCCCAAUCAGCUCUUAUUUGCCCGCAUAGAGGCGGUCUAAACGGUCUCGGCACGGCCUCGAGAAGAGGUUUGGGCUAAUGCGGUGAAAGGAUGAAUUGUAGCCAAGUGGCCUUGCCGAUGACUGUUAUACCAGCGGUGUGAAGAUCGGCCUCUGCGGAGGAGACUCGUGAAUGACGCUACUGAGCAGUUGGGGGCAGUCAGCCGACAGCAACAACGGGCGGCGCAGGAGAGACGCUCACAACAACGAGCGGAGCGCCGGGCGGCUACAACUAAAAUGAGGAGCGCAAAGUGUCAAGCCAUGGCACCUGCCAGCGGUGAGCCUUCCCACACUUCACGUGGCCUCAAGGUGCACCUAGCCUGGCACCAUCGCCGUGCUGACGUCACACGUGGGACUACGAAUGAGCACGUGCAGCCACUGCAGCGCUGCGUAAGAACGAAGUUGCAUUUACGAAGGCAGAGCUAUAGGAGGACCGUUCCCCGAAACGUCGCGAAUUAUCAACGAUGCAUUUGUGUUGUCCAGCGCAAGGGACGUCGUGGUUGUUGACAGCAGCCGACUUCGCUGUCGCGAUCUUGCUGAUGCUCCAACGAUCGCUUUCCAUUCAAAGCUUCUCAACAAAGUCGCUGCAGCCCGAGUGGAUCGAUGCUUCUUCGUGUGGACACAUCGUCAGCUUCCUCGUCUCGUUGGCGUUGUUUUGUUUUUCGUCGUCGUCGUCUAAGCGUUUCAAAAUGCUGUCGGUUCAAUGUAUUUACAAAACGAGCGGACCGCGCUAAUUCAAUGGGGGUCUGCAUUCGAUGCGUAACCAGCACUCAACCGGACCCUGUAAUUAGCCAAAUGGAAUCAAUGACAGCUUAAUUGCUGGUCAGAAUAUAUGCAGAUGUAUGCUAUAUAACUAUAUAUAUAUACUUAUACGAGCAUAUAGUUAUAUAUAUAUAUACACGUAGACAUGUGCAUUACGAUAAGUGCAUCUAGUUAUAUAUGUAACUGCAAAUUACAUUUACAAUGUAGAGAAUAACCAGCGUUUGUAAACAUGCUGUAUGUAUAUUUAGUGAAAUUGCUACAUUGCUAACGAUGGAUGGAAGUACAUGCACAUAAAAUUAGCACGGAUUAUAAAUCAUCAGCGUUUUGUAUCCAUAACCAUGAGCGAGGAUUGUGAUGUUCACGGCGGUGGCGGUACUAAUGUCAUGAUGAACUCCGAGCAGAUUGCGAUUUUAAUUACUUAUUGCUGUUGUAUUGCCCCAAAAGUCUGCCAAGGCAAUACGGGUGAUCUUUGUCUUUGUAGUGGCGAUGAUGAUGCUGUUACUGAUAUGAUUAAUUAUAAAAACGUUACCGGUACGGGUCGUCGUGAUGAGUCAAUGAUGCGAUCAUAACAGCGCUAUUGAGAUUAUGGUAAUGGCGAUAUUAUUGUUAAUGAAAACAGCUGAAGAAUGCUCGAUAACAGUAAUUAUAAAAUACAAUCUUACCUCGUCAAAAGGUGCGUGUCGCACGAAGUCAUUACGUCCUGUGAACGGAAUGGGUAUCGAGGGAACUCCGUGUGGUUUCGGAUCUACCGGA